rnacentral:lncRNA from 1 species
AGUGAGCGCUCAUCACGGCCCCACCCGACGGCACCCGGUUGUUGUCCAGGCCCAGGGCUUCGGGAGAACACGUUUCUGUCUCCUCGGCCCUCAGGUAGGACAUUUCAGUGGCACCGCACACUGACCCGGACACACGCGUAUGCGGAAUUCAACCCGACGCAAACCUCAGCGGUCUGCUUUCUUCUGGAACUCCCAUCUGGAAUCCCUUUUCUCAUCUCCAUCCUCCUCAGGACCUCGCGCUCAGAAACACACUGUGUCACACUCAUCCACCUUCUCCCGGCUCCGUUCACCCUUCUUCACCUCCUAACACUCCCCGGAUCCUGUGCCGCUCAAAGUGAGUCUUCCACACCUCGGCCUCCCCAGAACCCAAGGGCUGAGAGGACGCCGCCUCCUGCCAGCUCUCCAGGCCACUCGGGGACGCGGCUCGCGGCGCCCCUCCCUAGGCGUUCAGCUCCCCGGGCGUCUGGGUCCCUUCACCUUUCAGGCCUUGCUUUGCUUAGCAUCGUGUCUGACGCCAAGCAGCUUCUCAACGAGGAGAAAACAUGGGAGCUCCAGGGAGUCAGCGGCAGAUCCAGAAACAGAGUCAAGCUCCCCUUACAUGCGAUGUGGGGCCCGCCCAUCCGUCCAGGCUGCCUCUCCUGCAUCUAAUCAGGUAUUAGCAUCUUUGUUUAAAGGAUGUAGACAUAGUCACUGGAAACUGAAGUUGGCUCAGAGGUUAAAGUGUCUGUCUGCGAUGCAGGAGACCUGGGUUCAAUCCCUGGGUCAGGAAGAUCCCCUGGAGAAUGAAAUGGCACCCUACUCCAGUAUUCUUGCCUGGAGAAUCCUAUGGACGGAGGAGCCUGGUGGGCUACAGUCCUCGGGGUCGCAAAGAGUCGGACACGACUGAGCGACUUCACUUUCACUUUUCACUUUUCACUUUCAUGCAAAGGAAAGUCUACAGACGUCAGGUUCCUCAUAGAUCAUAAAGACUGAUUCCAGAGUAAUUAAAGGUUUAAGAAAAGUAGGUGGAAUGUGAAGAAAUUAUACAAAAUAUAACCAAGUUCAGGCAAAAGGGUUGAAGCAAUAAAUGCCUUUGCUCUCCCA